UGGGNGGCAGAGGUUGCAGUGAGCCAAGA
rnacentral:piRNA from 1 species